rnacentral:rRNA from 1 species
UACGAAGGGGGCUAGCGUUGCUCGGAAUCACUGGGCGUAAAGCGCACGUAGGCGGCUUCUUAAGUCAGGGGUGAAAUCCUGGAGCUCAACUCCAGAACUGCCUUUGAUACUGGGAGGCUCGAGUCCGGGAGAGGUGAGUGGAACUGCGAGUGUAGAGGUGAAAUUCGUAGAUAUUCGCAAGAACACCAGUGGCGAAGGCGGCUCACUGGCCCGGUACUGACGCUGAGGUGCGAAAGCCAGGGAGCGAACGGG